UCUAACGUGCUCAUCGUUUAUCUUAUCAGUAGUGACAUUUUUAGAUUUGAAUAUUGUGGCGUAAACGUGAAAAACGAAAAAACAGUCGACUUCACGUUAUUUAGUUUUCAUUUUAGGCGAAACUUUUCACUUCGUUUAGAAAUAAUGAUCAAGGUAUGAUCAAGGUAAAUUUCAAGCUAAAACUGCACAGUCGGAACUAAAAUAUUUUUUGCUUUAACCUUACCGCCACGUGGAAGUUGAGAGAUAAUUGUAGUUAAUAAAAAGACGUUAAGAGUCUACUUAUUGAGAAUUUAUAACGACGACGUCAGCACGGAAUAUUUAAUGGAAUACUAAGAGGCAAAGUGGGAUCCAAGUGAUCGGUUAUCGAUCAAGUUCUUGAUGCUUGUCGGCUCUACAGUAAACGUGAAUUCUCGAAUCGGACGUUCUGUUUCCCAAGAGUCUGCUCAGAACCUCAUCAUUGAUUCCACCGUGUGCACGAGUACAGCCAGCUCCACUGAUUUUUACCCUGCGAGGGGAAUACGAAUUCCCCAUGAUCGUUUCUGUACACAGUGAAUCCCGUACCGAAUGCCAUGAUCCGAUUAGGAUUUCGAAAACCGGUUUAUUUGGACUUUCUGAAACUCGAAAACCGGUUCCAUAAAUCUGGAAAUAUUGGUUUGUUAUUGCAUUGAAAUCGUCAAAUUGGAAUCGACUUCGACGUAAAGAUUGUUCAGCAAAUCUCUUCAUAAGUCAUGUGAAUCUUUGAUACACAAAUGCAUUUUGCUAUGCUACUCUGUGUGGUACGUCAUGCUGUUUGAAAUUAUGAUUCCUGGAAACAAAGACACUAUAAAUUUGCUAUUAUAGAAAAAUAUAAAUUUUACAAUUUAUAAAAAUAUACAAAUCUACAAUUUAUAAUAUCAACAGAA